GCACAUGAUAUAAACUUAUAUCUACUUCUAACUCGUGCUAACUGGAGUUUUUUGGCUAUCCACAGUGCAACACUCCUGCUUUUCUUCUUGCCUCAAGUUCUGAAUUUCCUUUAUUCAUGUCCUCAGAUUUUUAAGAUAAUUCCUUGUCCAAGGCAUCCCCUACCAAGAUUUGAUCCUCAAACCGGACUCUUAACUGGGACAAAGGAUGGGAACUUGUAAACCGAUUCCUUAGAUUGUAUGGUCGGUGCACAGAAAAUAUUCUAUGCAUCAUACUUCUUAUUUUCCAGGCUUUUUCGUGCCUUCUAUGUUUCUGCUUGAGGCAUGUUCUUGCCGGAUGGUACAAACGAGGUGUGACAGCAAACUCUGUAAGCAUGCAGUUCUAAAUACUGUGGCAAAUCUAUCCCAAAUGCAG